GGGUUGUAAACUGCUUUUUAAGGUGAAUAAAGAGGGGCACGUGUGCCCUGCUGCAUGUAGCCUUAGAAUAAGGACCGGCUAAUUCCGUGCCAGCAGCCGCGGUAAUACGGAAGGUCCAGGUGUUAUCCGGAUUUAUUGGGUUUAAAGGGAGCGUAGGCCGCAGGUUAAGUGUGUUGUGAAAAGCAGUCGCCCAACGUCUGCCUUGCAGCGCAAACUGUCCUGCUUGAGUGCGCACAACGCAGGCGGAAUUCGUCGUGUAGCGGUGAAAUGCUUAGAUAUGACGAAGAACUCCGAUUGCGAAGGCAGCUUGCGGGAGCGCAACUGACGCUGAAGCUCGAAGGUGCGGGUAUCGAACAGGAUUAGAUACCCUGGUAGUCCGCACGGUAAA
rnacentral:rRNA from 1 species